rnacentral:rRNA from 1 species
UACAGAGGUCCCGAGCGUUGUUCGGAUUCAUUGGGCGUAAAGAGCGCGCAGGCGGUCGUUCAAGUCGCGUGUGAAAGCCCCCGGCUCAACUGGGGAGGGUCACGCGAUACUGAUCGACUCGAAGGCAGGAGAGGGUAGUGGAAUUCCCGGUGUAGUGGUGAAAUGCGUAGAUAUCGGGAGGAACACCAGUGGCGAAGGCGACUACCUGGCCUGUUCUUGACGCUGAGGCGCGAAAGCUAGGGGAGCAAACGGG